ACCCGUUGAAAGACGGACUAAUGCCCUAUGGAGUCCUUUGACGGCAUCAGAUUAGGACUAAAGAUUCAUCGGUAUGGGAUGGGGAUGCGUCUGAUUAGCUUGUUGGCGGGGUAACGGCCCACCAAGGCAUCGAUCAGUAGGGGUUCUGAGAGGAAGGUCCCCCACAUAGGAACUGAGACACGGUCCUA
rnacentral:rRNA from 1 species